GACGAACGCUGGCGGCGUGCUUAACACAUGCAAGUCGAACGGAAAGGCCCUGCUUUUGUGGGGUGCUCGAGUGGCGAACGGGUGAGUAACACGUGAGUAACCUGCCCUUGACUUUGGGAUAACUUCAGGAAACUGGGGCUAAUACCGGAUAGGAGCUCCUGCUGCAUGGUGGGGGUUGGAAAGUUUCGGCGGUUGGGGAUGGACUCGCGGCUUAUCGGCUUGUUGGUGGGGUAGUGGCUUACCAAGGCUUUGACGGGUAGCCGGCCUGAGAAGGUGACCGGCCACAUUGGGACUGAGAUACGGCCCAGACUCCUACGGGAGGCAGCAGUGGGGAAUAUUGCACAAUGGGCGGAAGCCUGAUGCAGCAACGCCGCGUGCGGGAUGACGGCCUUCGGGUUGUAAACCGCUUUCGCCUGUGACGAAGCGUGAGUGACGGUAAUGGGUAAAGAAGCACCGGCUAACUACGUG
rnacentral:rRNA from 1 species